rnacentral:rRNA from 1 species
UUCUGACCGUAAACGAUGCCAACUAGCGAUCCGCCGGCGGAUUCCAAACGCCCUGGUGGGGAGCUUCCCGGAAACGAAAGUCUUCCGGUUCCGGGGGAAGUAUGGUUGCAAAGCUGAAACUUAAAGGAAUUGACGGAAGGGCACCACCAGGAGUGGAGCCUGCGGCUUAAUUUGACUCAACACGGGAAAACUCACCCGGCCCGGACACCGCGAUGAUUGACAGAUUGAUAGCUCUUUCAUGAUUCGGUGGAUGGUGGUGCAUGGCCGUUCUUAGUUCGUGGAGCGAUUUGUCUGGUUUAUUCCGAUAACGAGCGAGACUCUAGCCUACUAACUAGUCCGCAUGUUCGCUUGCUGCAUGCCGGCACUUCUUAGAGGGAUUUUCGGCGUUUCAGCCGCACGAAACUGAGCAAUAACAGGUCUGUGAUGCCCUUAGAUGUCCGGGGCUGCACGCGCGCUACACUGGCGAAAUCAGCGUGCCUGUCCUCUCGCGAAAGCGACUGGUAAACCGGUGAAAAUUCGCCGUGAUUGGGAUCGGAAAUUGCAAUUAUUUUCCGUGAACGAGGAAUUCCAAGUAAGUGCGAGUCAUCAACUCGCGUUG